CAGCGAAAUACAAAAUCUCACACAGCUAGUUCCAAUUCCAAGCACUUUCAAGUGCCACAAUUAGAAAGAAGUGGAAAAUGGGGGCAUGCAGCAGCCCCUGUGAAUCUUUCGAAGAUGUUUCAUCCUUGGAAUUUUUCUUCUCUGCUGCAGCAGCCUUGCCAUCUAAUAAAAUAUUCACCCGUGUUAAACUAACGCAAUUUAAGAUCCAAGAACCUAAGACAGUUAUUUAACAUUGUAAGUACAAAAGCAAUUGAAUGGUUUAAAGCUUGCUGAUCUUAAAAAUAUGGUUGAAGACUUGAGUAGUAAUGAGGGAGGCCAGCCAUGUUGGAGGUACUUCAAAAAUAUAAUUUCUUGUAU